GAUCAUGGCUCAGAUUGAACGCUGGCGGCAUGCCUUACACAUGCAAGUCGAACGGCAGCAUGGAGAGCUUGNUCUCUGAUGGCGAGUGGCGAACGGGUGAGUAAUACAUCGGAACGUGUCCGUUUGUGGGGGACAACCGUCCGAAAGGAUGGCUAAUACCGCAUGAGACCUGAGGGUGAAAGCCGGGGACCGCAAGGCCCGGCGCAGACGGAGCGGCCGAUGAUUGAUUAG
rnacentral:rRNA from 1 species